CAGAAAGUGAAUUUGAAAAUAUUUUGAAUUUACGUAAAAGAAAACGUACUUGGAUGCUUUCAAGUUCUGAGAAUGAAAAUGAAAAUAUUCUACAAGACCAUCAAAAUGAAAUUGCCGCAGAUGGAACCAAUUGGGAAAAAAUAUGAAAAGGGUCUAUCAUUAGAAUAUUAUCACUUCAUAAUAUUUUCAAACAUAUCCGGUCCAAAAAAAAAUUAUGAAAAAGAAUAUGCCAAAAAAAAAAGAUUAUGAAAGAAAAUAGAAACUGAACUUCUUUUCCAACACCAUGAGUAGAAAUGAUUUUACCGAAAUAUUGAAAUUUAUUCACUUUGAUUAAAAAAGUGAUGGAAGUCAGCAUUUACAAAGUGACAAAUUUGCUUUCAUAUCAACGAAAAGUAAUAUCACAAUUUCUAAGUGAAUUUGUCUACUCAAACUUAUUGAAUCAUAUACUACGAAAGGAGAAACUAUAACAAAUGACAACAUUUUUAUAAGCUUACCGCUGGCAUUUAAAUUACUAUCAAAGAGAACCACAUUGGUUGGUACUAUAUACGGAAACAAA